rnacentral:lncRNA from 1 species
AAAAAAAGAGAUUGCAUUGGCCUUCAACCUUUGUAUGUGCCUCAUAUCCUGCCUUUAUCACUACUUUGAUCAUGUCAAUGCAUUGUGUGUUAACAGUUCAUUUUGUUAUUUUCUUUGUAGAUUCAAAAGAUAUAUGGAUGAUUAUAUGGGUGCGUGGCAAGUAUACUGCAGUAAUGAUGAUGAUGUUCCAGUUCAUGAUGCUGAUGAUGGAUGCUUCCAGUUUUAGUUAAGUUGUAGGGAUAUUGUUCCUGUUGGAUGAUGUUCCUCGGUCAACUUUUAGUGAUGUUGAUGUAUGCUUUCAGUUUAAGUUUCGAUGUUAAGAAAAUAUUUAGAUUCUGCAUCACAUUUGGAUGAUGUUCCUCUUGUAAUAUCCACUAUUGUAAUCCAACAAUUUUAUCCAAUAUAUGAUUUGUUCCUUGUGAGUAUAUUCUCUAUUUUUUUCCUCACUUGAUAUACA